AACGAACGCUGGCGGCAGGCCUAACACAUGCAAGUCGAACGUGAAGCCACCUUCGGGUGGUGGAAAGUGGCAGACGGGUGAGUAACGCGUGGGAACGUGCCUUUCGGUUCGGGAUAACCAAGGGAAACUUGGGCUAAUACCGGAUACGCCCUCCGGGGGAAAGAUUCAUUGCCGAAAGAUCGGCCCGCGUCGGAUUAGCUAGUUGGUGGGGAAAAAGCCUACCAAGGCGACGAUCCGUAGCUGGUCUGAGAGGAUGACCAGCCACACUGGGACUGAGACACGGCCCAGACUCCUACGGGAGGCAGCAGUGGGGAAUAUUGGACAAUGGGCGCAAGCCUGAUCCAGCCAUGCCGCGUGGGUGAAGAAGGCCCUAGGGUUGUACACCCCUUUCAGCGGGGAAGAUAAUGACGGUACCCGCAGAAGAAGCCCCGGCUAACUCCGUGCCAGCAGCCGCCGUAAAAC
rnacentral:rRNA from 1 species